UAGCAGUGAGGAAUAUUGGUCAAUAGCCUAACGGCUGAACCAGCAACUUGGAGGAACAUACGGCAAUAGCUGGUUGCAUUAACAAUUAGUUAUUACAACAUCGACUAUGUCGAAUAAAGUUCUAGGUAGAGUUAUGAUAAUGACAUUUUCUAUCUAUGUGUCUUGACCAAAUCACGUGCCAGCAGUCGCGGUAAUACGUGGAAGACUAGUGUUAUUCAUCUUUAAUUGGUUUAAAGGGUACCUAGACGGUCUAUUAAGCCCCUAAAGGGUACUUACAGACUAGAGUUUGAUGAGAGGGGGGAAGUACGAGAGAGUGUAGAGAUGAAAUUCUGUCAUACCUUACUUGGAACAGGCAACGGCGAAAGCAACUCCUUAUGUAAAAACUGACGUUGAAGGACGAAGGA
rnacentral:rRNA from 1 species